GCUCCGAUAGUCUAGCCCGGUCAAGGACGCUGGCCUUUCAUGUCAUAAAAUAGACAAAGCAAGCCGGUAACCCGGGUUCGAAUCCCGGUCGGAGCAC
rnacentral:tRNA from 1 species